GCGGUUGUAGUUCAAUGGUAGAACGCGCGACUGUGGCUCGUGAAACGGGAGUUCAAUUCUCCUCUUCCGCC
rnacentral:tRNA from 1 species